rnacentral:lncRNA from 1 species
GAAGAGCUGGCCAGAAAGAGUUCCACAGAACGCCACACCAUUAACAGCUGCCGCUACAUUGGGAGGCAAACUACCAGGCUUCUCUGCUCCAUCGACAUGGUAAUAUAUGCGGCCAAGCAAUUUGGUGACAAGGGAUAUGCAGAAGAGGUCAUAGGCAUCGGUGAAGAAUCCCAUGCCAGCAAUAAUAAUUGCGGUGAAGUGAUACCAUUGUGUUUUUGCCACAUCAAGCGCAUUGAGAACCUGUAAUUCCUUGGCCAUGAUCACCUAGCUUAUCUAGGAAAAUGCCUUUCCUUGCUCUCUCUGUUCUCUGCAAAACUCUUGACCAGAGUUUUGUGAGAAAAACGGACAAAAAAGAGGGAGAGAAAACUCUUGACUAGAGUUUUGUGAGAAAAACGGACAAAAAAGAGGGAGAGAAGAGCUAGAAAGAAAGAAAUUGAUUAAGAAGCUCGUUUGGUUCAAGAAAGAUGGUGUUUCUUGAAUAUUUAAGCGACGAGCACCCCUUAAAUUCUUAAUAAAGCAGCGAAGGCAGGCAAAUAUACCACGGGCAUAUUCCCCCACUCUUUUCGCCCGCCCUCUUUCCUCGGUCAAUAUCCUUUUUCGUUUACGUUGCGUUUAUGUUCAUCCCAUUUACACCUGCAAUGAUAACUUUACCUCUAUUUCGUUGGCUACAACUAUUAUUCGAACUAAAAAAAGUCGUCUUCGUCUUCUUCUACUUCUUCAAUUAUUAUCAUUAUUACUAUUAUUAUAGAAUUUGUGGUUUAUUAAUUUUAGUGAAAGUUACAAGAGUGUUGAGCAAUUGUAGACGUUUGGUUCCCUUAUUUCAAGUUAUAUAGAUUUCAGUUAAAUUGAAUUUAUUUUCUAUAACUAAAUUAAAAUUAUCAAACACUCGAAGUAUGAGGAGACAAUCACCAUGAACAAAGGUCCAUAGCCAUGACUUCUCUUUCUCCUAGCUUGCACGAGUCAAAGCAACAGUCCUGGUGAGAGGAGGAGGGUGACAAUGAAACAUUCUAGUCAUUCCAUGUGGUUGGUCACCAUUACGGAUAUAUCUCUUAAAAAUGGUCUGGCAGGUAAGGGAUGGACAAUCAUUAAUAAUUUGGUUCCAAUUUUUGUUUGCUGUAAUUUGAUUAUUAUCAGUGUCUUCUUGAUAGUUUUGUGUAUAAUACUUUUUAAUUGAAAAUAUAUUAUAAAUUUUUUAAAAUAUUUUUAUCAUUAAUAUAUUAAAUUUAUUAAAAAACAUAUAAAAAUAUCGAUUUGAUAUUUUUUUAUAUAAAAACAAUUUUAAAAAGAGGGCCAUCGUGUAACAUGUGCUAUAUUGUUUAUGAUGUUACUAUCCUUAAUUUGAAUGUGUGUGUGUUUGUGUAUAUAUAGAAACACACACACACAGAAAAUCAGCAAACCAAUUUCUUUUUUUCUUUAUUUGUUUAUAACAUUGUUCUGUUAGCCUGUUACAUAGUAAUGUUUAUAUUGUUAAUCAUUCAGAUAAUAUGAGUAUUUCUAACUUUCAAUGUUUGAGAUAUCUAUUAAAAAAAAUUAAAAAUUGUAUAUAAAAGGUAAGUGUUAAUUCAAAAGGCUUAAUUCUAAUGUUUAAUUAAGUAAAUAUUAACUACUAAAAUGUUAACUAUUCACUUAUUUUGGAAGAUUUAGAUUAAGAAAAUGAUGAAUUAUAUUAAAAAGGACAUGAAAGAACUAAUUCCAUUCCAUAGAUUUGAUACUAUUUGUGUUUCAAGACUCUGGAUUGUGGGCAAUUCAUAGGGAGAUUUUGUGGCUUGAAAUUUAUGCGAAAGGAAAACUAAGGCGUAGUUUCAUGGCGAUUAUGCAUGUAUUUGUAUUUUAAUUUUUAAUUAGUGACUUUGAUGCCAAUAUUUUCACCCAUUAACGUCAAGUGAUAAAUUACAUGUGCAAUUAAAGUUGAUAGUUAAACCAUCUAGUAGAUGGUUUAAUAGUAAAAUAUUUGGGAUUAAGAAAUUUUUUUUUUCUCUGAUUUCAGGUUCGAACUUUGUAAUUGCUAAUAUGAUAGCUAUUAGAAGUUUAUAUGAUUGUUAACUUUAUAGCCCAUGAGAUUAGUCGGGGUAUAUACAAACUGAUCCAGACACCUACGUUAAUAAUUAAAAAAAAAGUUGAUAAUAAAGAUUUCCAUUUCCAUAUGUUAUUUCUAUUGCACUAUAUCAUUUAAAUUACAUCAAUUUUAUAAUUAUUGAUUUGUGGCUCAACUUAAAUUGGAUGAUAUAACCAGUGAUGGGUAUUUAUGAAAUACCGAAAUUUCUUCGAAAUGGCAAUUAUAAUUAUGAGGGAAUGUUCUCAAAUAAUAAAUAAAUAAAUAAAAAAUAUGCCUCCUAAAUUCCACAUCACCAUGGAGUCAUUUCCAAUUCAUUUAGACUUUGUUUCUGAAAAUUCCAAGUGCAUUUUAAAGAGUUCAGGUCAGAUUUAUAACUUGAAAGAAUCAAACUACCUAACAGGUUAGGCAAAGUGUGAACCUUUUGCAAGUCAUCAUUAAGAGUUUUCGGCUACUGAAAGCUACGUAGCUUGUCUUGUUAGAUUCUGGAAAUUAGUCAAAGGUUCUUAAAUGGAGAUGGUGGUUCACGAUUCACACGCAAUUUAUUAAGGCAGAUGCAAAAAAUCUGCAAGUGAUUUGCAGGAACAAUUAAGCCUACAAUCAUGCCUUGUAAUUUAAUACAGAUAUACUCUAUCCAUAAAUAAUUUUGAUAGCUGUAAUCUCUCCUCAGAUGGAUCUGUAAGUUAGUAUAAAAACAACAUGCUAAGCAUCAAUAAAAUUAUAUUGAAAAUUCUAUCGUAAGCUUCUGGAUAAUAUCACUCUUCUAUAUGAUUCCUGGUACUUGUGCCAUAAUUGAUGCUCGGAGGCUGCUGGCUGGCUCUUAACUGUUAAGUCGUCGGUAAAUUUAGUGUAGCUGGGAUAGCCACCCAAAACCCACAAUCAGAUUCGAUAAUUUAAUGUCUUUUUCAACACAAACACACGGAAGCAACUGAAGUAAAAGGAAGUUUCGUUACCUCUUCAUGAGGCAAAAAGGUACUAAUUAGGAGAAAGAAAUUGACAUGUAUCAGGGAGGAUUUAAAGGGUCUUCAGAAUUUUCGUUCAAGUGGUCACCCUGUAAAGAUUUGUAUCAUUGCCUCGCAAUUACUCUUGCAUAGAUUGGUUGAUCGAAUUUCAAAGUCAAAAAAAUGGGGGUGUUCAAGUAGGUGAAGACAAAGAAAUGGGGGUGUAGAAGUAGGUAAAGACAAUUACUUGGAAAAAUUAAAUGGUAAGAGUGUUUGAGAGUUUGGUAAUGGUUGGUUUUUAUUGGGUUUUUUUAUUGUGAAAAUAUAUUAAAAUAAUUUAUUUAUUUAUUUAAAGAAAGGUCUUUUGAAACGCCCCUAAUUCUCGGAAUGAGUUUUAUUUCUUAGUUCUUUUUUUCCACGUGCGACAGUAUUAGGAAUUGACUUUUGAACCCUGGUGCACGUCUAUGUCAAAACGAAAGUCCAGCUAAACUUCUAAAGUAUGGAAUCAUUCACACUUCACUUUCGAGGACAUCGCAGAUAAAAACAAGAACGAUGCAAGAAAUCAAAAUAAGCUAAGGAAAUGGAGGACAUGUCCAUGUGGUUAGAAUCGAUUGCAAAGCAAAGGCUACACUCAUCAUCACAAUAGCGUUUCAACAAUGUCUUCUUUUGACGUCGCAGCAAGUUGAAGUGACAUAAAAGAGACCUGAUUUACUCGGUAACUUGCAAGACUGAGGAAGACAGGGAAGGGGGAGAGACACACGAUAACAAGAAGAGGUAUAUUGAAAAAUAUAUCAAGAGUUUAGCUAACUUGUACUAGAGAACUGGAUAAAGAAAACAUUUAAACCAACGGUACUGUCCUGUUAUAUGAACUUUGCUCCACAUUUGGCACCGACCCCUCAUCAGUCUCAUUCUCUCCAGACAUCUCCUCUAAGGAUUUUCCAUUUGAUUCAGGGACCAAGAAAGUAAACAAUAUGCCGAAGAAGUUGACGACACCGAGGACAAGGAGUGAAUUCUUCACACCGAUACCUGCAGGGUACCCUGCAUCGGCCUUGGCCUUGUCCUGGUUCUGUGCCAAAUAUAAGAACCCGAAUGCACCCACAAUUGCUCCGAGCUUCCCAGAAGCUGCUGAUAUACCGUGGCAAGUGGACCUUAACCUCGCAGGGAAAAUCUCGGCUGGUACAACAAAUGUGGUGGCAUUAGGUCCAAAGUUUGCAAAGAAGAAGGUCAAUGAGUAGAUAACCACGAAUCCAAUUCGGUUGUCCUUCUGGGUCCAGUGGUUGUAAGGAAUGGCCAGCGCAAACAUGAACACUGUCAUGAAGAAGAAACCCAUCAAUUGGAUUGCAAACCGUCCUAUUCUGUCGAUAAAAGCCACUGUGAACCAGUAGCCUGGGACAGUACUGCAUAGAGCGAUUAGUGUUUGCGCCCUCGCAAUUCUAUAAACCUCAUCGAUGGCAUUCAUGGUCUGUGCUUUGGGAAUCCAUCCGAUCGCGCUAAAUAUAUCCUUUUGGAAAAGAUUUUGGCUGUAGAAUGCAAUGUCAAGCAAGAACCACGUGGUAGUUGUUCCAAGCAAAUGGAGUCCAUGGCGAUGAAGGAACUUUUUUGUGAACAGACCAAAUUGAUUGGACUUGUCCUCGGUCAGUUGCUCGACCUUCUGCUCUUCCGCCUCAAGAUCCACCUGCAGAACUCUUGACAUAUCAGUGGCAGCCUGUUUUGCAUUCUUGGCGACAAGCGCAGUGUAACGGGCAGUUUCAGGCAUCUUCAUCCUCCAGUAGUAGGUAAGUGCAGCGGGAAGAGCUCCAGCCAUUACAAUUAUACGCCAAAUGUAGUCAGCUUGUGGGACAGUUGAGGCAACAGCAUUAACCUCGUAAGAUGGAGCAUCAAACCUGGCCUUAAAUGCAGAUGAUACAAUUAUAGCAAAUAUGCCACCAGCCAAAAUUCCAAAACCUUGCAUCGCAAAUACUGCAGCAAUGAAGGCACCACGAGUCUUCUUGUUAGCAUAUUCAGACAUGAUGGUGGCAGAGUGGAUAGUCACCACCAAUACCGAACCCGAGCCAGAAACGAAAGAAGCAAAGGGUCGACAUGACAGCCUUAGCAUCAUGGCUAAAGAAAGACCCGAGGCAACCGAACAUAUGACCAUGAGCAUAAGAGUCAUACCAUACACUUUCUUCCUCCCCAUCUUGUCACCAAGCCAGCCAAAGAAGAGCUGCCCCGACAGAGUUCCGCAGAACGCCACACCAUUAACAGCAGCCGCUACAUUGGGAGGCAAACUACCAGGCUUCGCUGCUCCAUCGACAUGGUAAUAUAUGCGGCCAAGCAAUUUGGUGACAAGGGAUAUGCAGAAGAGAUCAUAGGCAUCGGUGAAGAAUCCCAUGCCAGCAAUAAUAAUUGCAGUGAAGUGAUACCAUUGUGUUUUUGCCACAUCAAGCGCAUUGAGAACCUGUAAUUCCUUGGCCAUGACCCCUAGCUUAUCUAGGAAAACGCCUUUC